UAUGCAAUAACCAGCUGUUUCUACUCUGUUUUUAUUUUUUGGUAGCUGGUAGGUCUCCCGUCUUCUAAUUCAUAUUCUUGUAUAGAGUUUGGAUAAGAAAUUUACUAGCCACCCUCACCAUUUGUUGCUAUCCUGUUGUUGCUUGCCCCUUGUGCUUUAACACAAUGGGGAUCCAGGCUGUUCAUCUUGAGGCAUCCCAACCAUAGAUGGACUGUGUGCCUGGCGGAUGAACAAUCUGGAUCACCAUGCAGCACGGCACCAGACAUGGGCAACAAUGGGAGAACAAAAUGGGCCAAUGCCAGCAAACUCCCCGGGACAGGAGCUCAUUUUUUAAUGGCUUUGAGAAUGUGUGUGCGUUGGUAUUAACUAGCAUAUUGAAACAUUGGCUUUAUUUCAUGAGUGGAGCUGUGGAUAUUCAUCCUGGGGAGUU